UGAACCUGAACUUAAGCCUCCUAGAUCCCCAAAGAGAAAGAGUUAGGGUGGAGGGGGGAGAGCACCAUCCACAGUUUGGGAUCAUUUUGACAAGGUUGUAGGGACCGAUGGGAAGCAGAGUAAAUGGAUGAUUCUAUUGCCAACAUUAGACUUGCGGUGAGAUAUGUGAGGUCUUCUCCUCAUAGGCAUGAUGUUUUUAAGAAGUGUGCGGCCACACUCAAACUUGAUUCAAAAGCUCUUGUAUGC